rnacentral:tRNA from 1 species
CAUUAAGUGACUGAAAACAAGUAAUGGUCUCUUAAACCAAUCUAUAGUAGGUUAGUAUUUACUCUUAAUGA